UACAGAGGUCUCAAGCGUUGUUCGGAUUCAUUGGGCGUAAAGGGUGCGUAGGCGGCGCGGUAAGUCGGGGUGUGAAAUCUUGGAGCUUAACUCCGAAACUGCAUUCGAUACUGCCGUGCUUGAGGACUGGAGAGGAGACUGGAAUUUACGGUGUAGCGGUGAAAAUGCGUAGAUAUCGUAAGGAAGACCAGUGGCGAAGGCGGGGUCUCUGGAC
rnacentral:rRNA from 1 species